rnacentral:lncRNA from 1 species
GUAACAUGAGAUGAAAACUGGAGAAGCAUCCCUAAAAUAUAUGAACCAAUCUGCCUAGAAAUAGCUAGGAAUCUGCCACCAGAAAGAUGAAUAAAAUAAAAGAUUGAAGAAGUAGCAAGUAGCAGUAUGGAAGACUUGUGGCUAAGAUAUGUGUCUUGGGAAAAAGAAGGGCUGAAUGUUAACACAACUAAGGGUCUCACUGAUUCCCCAAUGAAGCAACUUCACGGGGGAACCCCUCUAAGAGAUUUUCUCUCUGCAUUCACAGAAGACACUUCGCACUGUUAUGCACCAGGAGGAUUGACUGUCUCUGUGGCUUGGAGGCAGUUAUACGUAGCAGCAGCAGCAGCAGCAGCAGCAAAAGUUAACAGGAGCCGGAGUCUGUCUUCAAAGAGCAGUCAGUAGAGAUGAAGAGUAGAUUACUGAUUCCAUAGUACAUGUCAGAUACUGCCUAGGGACUUCCUAAGUAGAGGUCAAGGUCCCACUGUUAUACAGGAACCCCGCCUUUUUGUGUAACAGUUGGCCAUAAAGAAAUUAAGACCUUCAUUCCAGAGAGUCCUAUUGCAUGCCUGAGAGGGAGGAAGGCUGCACAGAGACGCCAAGAAGCUGGACAGUCCUUGCUGGGUUUCCCCACUCAGUCUUUAAGCAUUCGAUCAUACCCCUUCUGUCCAGUUGUAUUUUACAUGGCUGUCCAUACAUCAUUGAAUGUCAGUGUAAAAAUGGAUUGUUUUCCCUGUAUCUUUGGGUCUUUAUUCUGAAGUCUCUUUUAAAACUAUGAUCAAAUAAAUUUGUAUGCCUUUUCUCC